UCCCAUGGGAGCUCACAGAAAGAAAGGAACCAGUUCCCAAGAGGUCCCUGCCCCCCACUCAGCAAUCAGAGGCUAAUGGUACUGGGCACAUGUUGUAUCUGAUUUCCAAAAGAUGAGCUGGGCUGUUAGAUGGCCUUCCCAUCCCUGGUGUUGCAACCCUCAAAACUGAGAAGCUGUGCUCAUUUGGGACCAGCUACCUCCUUCCUUUACUCACCUCUGUAGUACAAUUGGGAGACAGGGAAAAAGUCUUGGUGUCUACGGCACAAAACCUGCACAACUUUGAAUCCUGCUUUUUACAUGCAUAUAAUACUGUUGUCAUGAACUAUUAGGUCAUGGCCUGAACCAGUGAUUGAACACCUGGUGAAGGGGAGCAGCCAGCCCUGAGAGCACAGGUGGAAGCAAUUCACCUGUGCAACCAGAGGGGUCCACCCCUCCCUAACCUCAUUUAAGGGCUGGCAGCUGUAAGAGAAAGAUCUCUGCUUGGAUAUUCCUUCUUUUGGAGUGUUUGGUGAGCCUUGAUCCUUGGAAAGGGAGUUACAGCACUUUCCUUUGAACUCGGUGCUACCCAAAACUCAGUGAGGACUGGAUCUCUGGGACACCUACAGAGAAGCAUUUGCAGAACAGGAGUUAAAGUCAUGUUCCAUGGGGAUGUUAAUUCAAUUUGCAUCUUGGGAAAUAAACUUCAUUUCUGUAAAGUCCCUGAACACCUCACACAGGCAGAAGUCAGGAGGAAAACUGUUGAAGAGUGAUCCUUGAGAAGUCUGGAUCCACAGGAGUGCUGGGGAGGGUUGAAUGUCAGCUCUACGUCCAAACCUCAGCCAGUAGAAAAAGGAUGACAUCUCCAUGAUUACAUUUCUCCAGCUGGUUUCUUAAUUCCUUUGCCACAUGGAUGUGAAGUGCUACUUCCUCCUUUCUCCAGAGAGUUCAGUAAUCUUGUUUGUGCACCAGUGGCGAUUAAAAAAUGGAUUGCUCAGGUUGAAGGCAUUUUAAGACCAGCAGGCUGGCUAAAGCAGAUAUAGCUGGUUAUGGGAGACUGGUAAAGGCCCACAUAGAGUGGCUCAUUACCUUGAGACUCUGUGACUAAUGUUUUGAGAUUUGUUUGUUGGCACUGAUAUUUUGAAUGGCCCCAAUGCAGUCUUGUCAAUGGUGCUCUGUCCCACUGGGGCAGCUCCUGGCAUUUUUCUUCCCACACAUUGCACUCAAGACAGCAUUUUGAGACUACUGGGACUGAGAAAAUCAUUCCUCAUCCAGACCAUAACUGAAGAAACUUCACGGCCAGAUCAGUGCAGCUGACUCCAUUUGGCAGUUUGGACAAGGAUGAAUAUCAGUCUGGAGUGGUGGGAAUCAAGAGUGGUGAUACAAGCAGUGUUAAGCUUAAAAUGGCAUUGUGCUAUGCCAAGUUUUGCUGGGUAUAAACAUCUGCAAGCAGGAAAAGGGAUAUCAUCAUCUUGAAAAAUGAAACAAUGUGAAGAGGUUUCCAGUUUGGUGCUGAAGGUGUUGGUUGGUUGUGCACCAUUUGGAUGUGUUGUUGAAUACAGGUGAUAUCAUCCAUCUGACAGCACUCAGCUGAGAAUUUCUUUCAGAACAAUUGAAAUGAGCUGCUCAUACCAUCAAGGAAACAGAAAGCAGAGAAGCUAACAAGCCAAAUCUCUUUUCAGGACAAAGCAGCAAAACCAUCACUGAAAUACGAGCAGUAAACAUCAAAGAAAGGCUGAUGUGGUUUUUGAUAUACCUGGAUGUCACUCCUCCCCCCUCCAUGUUCAACAUAUUGUGUCAGCUGAAAUGCAUUGGGCCCCUCCAAAGCAACAGCAAAUAUCUGGGAACAGAUCCAGCGUUCA